rnacentral:rRNA from 1 species
AGAUGUGUAUAAGAGACAGAUUCUAAGGUGAGCGAGCGAACUCUCGUUAAGGAACUCGGCAAAAUGACCCCGUAACUUCGGGAGAAGGGGUGCUCUUUAGGGUUAACGCCCAGAAGAGCCGCAGUGAAUAGGCCCAAGCGACUGUUUAUCAAAAACACAGGUCUCUGCUAAACCGUAAGGUGAUGUAUAGGGGCUGACGCCUGCCCGGUGCUGGAAGGUUAAGAGGAGUGGUUAGCUUCUGCGAAGCUACGAAUCGAAGCCCCAGUAAACGGCGGCCGUAACUAUAACGGUCCUAAGGUAGCGAAAUUCCUUGUCGGGUAAGUUCCGACCCGCACGAAAGGCGUAACGAUUUGGGCACUGUCUCAACGAGAGACUCGGUGAAAUCAUAGUACCUGUGAAGAUGCAGGUUACCCGCGACAGGACGGAAAGACCCCGUGGAGCUUUACUGUAGCCUGAUAUUGAAAUUCGGCACAGCUUGUACAGGAUAGGUAGGAGCCUUUGAAACGUGAGCGCUAGCUUACGUGGAGGCGCUGGUGGGAUACUACCCUAGCUGUGUUGGCUUUCUAACCCGCACCACUUAUCGUGGUGGGAGACAGUGUCA